GACGAACCGUGCGAACGUUAUUCGGAAUCACUGGGCUUAAAGCGUGUGUAGGCGGGUCCGUAAGUACCUUGUGAAAUCCCACGGCUCAACCGUGGAACUGCUGGGUAUACUGCGGGUCUUGAGCCACUUAGGGGCAAGCGGAACAAACGGUGGAGCGGUGAAAUGCGUAGAUAUCGUUUGGAACGCCAAUGGUGAAAACAGCUUGCUGGGAGUGUGCUGACGCUGAGACACGAAAGCCAGGGGAGCAAACGGG
rnacentral:rRNA from 1 species